AAGAUGAGCCACAUCCUCCGCUUCGGAGAGCGUCCGGAGAGCAGGAAGGGCAAAGGGUAUGCCACAUAUUUGGCAGACUGUUCAGGAGAGAGAAAGAUCAUAGAAGUGACUUUAGUAAUCCUGUUUUGAUGAUGCACUUGUAGUCGAAUUCCUGGAAUCAAACUCAUGGAAUUGCUUUUUUUUUAAUGAUAGCCUGCUUUCC